rnacentral:tRNA from 1 species
AGGCUUUGUGGUGUAAUUAGCAUAUCAGGCUGCAAACCUGAAGAUGUGGCGAAAGUCACCUCGGCUU